rnacentral:rRNA from 1 species
GACGAACGCUGGCGGCGCGCCUAACACAUGCAAGUCGAACGGAGUCAAGAGGAGCUUGCUUUUCUUGACUUAGUGGCGAACGGGUGAGUAACGCGUGAGUAACCUGCCCUGGAGUGGGGGACAACAGUUGGAAACGACUGCUAAUACCGCAUAAGCCCACGGAUCUGCAUGGAUCUGCGGGAAAAGGAUUUAUUCGCUCUAGGAUGGACUCACGUCCAAUUAGCUAGUUGGUGAGGUAACGGCCCACCAAGGCGACGAUUGGUAGCCGGACUGAGAGGUUGAACGGCCACAUUGGGACUGAGACACGGCCCAGACUCCUACGGGAGGCAGCAGUGGGGGAUAUUGCACAAUGGGGGAAACCCUGAUGCAGCGACGCCGCGUGGAGGAAGAAGGUUUUCGGAUCGUAAACUCCUGUCGUUAGGGACGAUAAUGACGGUACCUAACAAGAAAGCACCAGCUAACUACGUG